rnacentral:ncRNA from 1 species
CCAAAGUAAGAUUACUACUAUCCAGAGCAUAAAGCGUCACUUGACAUCACCUUGAAAAUCGGAUGUCUUCGGCGUUCGAAUUGUAGUCUGGAGAAGCGUCCUCAGCGACGGACCAGGCCCAAGUUCCUUGGAAAGGGGCGCCAGAGAGGGUGGGAGCCCCGUCGUGCCCGGACCCUAUCGCACCACGAGGCGCUGUCUACGAGUCGGGUUGUUUGGGAAUGCAGCCCCAAUCGGGCGGUAAAUUCCGUCCAAGGCUAAAUAUGGGCGAGAGACCGAUAGCAAACAAGUACCGCGAGGUAAAGAUGAAAAGGACUUUGAAAAGAGAGUCAAAGAGUGCUUGAAAUUGUCGGGAGGGAAGCGGAUGGGGGCCGGCGAUGCGUCCCGGUCGGAUGCGGAACGGAGCAAUCCGGUCCGCCGAUUGAUUCGGGGCAUGGACCGACGCAGAUUAAGGUGGUGACCUAAGCCCGGGCUUUUGUUACGCCCGCAGAGACGUCGCUGCCUUAAUCGUGGUCUGCAGCACGCGCCUCACGGCGUGCCUCGGCAUCUGCGUGCUCAGGGCGUCGGCCUGUGGGCUCCCCAUUCGACCCGUCUUGAAACAUGG